CUCGUCCUCCUGGCUGCAGGCAGCUGGUUUGCCAUCAGGAAAGGUGCCUGCAGAGGGAGAUGCCCAAGGCAGCAGCACAUUGACAGCCCACAGAUGGAAAACACCGACUCCGGAGAAGUCCAGUGUGAGUACUACCUCCUCCCUCGGGGGAAGCCACAAGCUGCCUCUGCCCAUAGGCAUCCCGUGCACCUCUACAUGCAAUCCCACCACUUCAUUUCCCACUGGGACAUGCAAAAUCCCUGCCCGUUCUUCAAGGCCAGGUUUCUCUCCAGCACCUCACGUCCCACUUCUUCCU